UUUUUUUUGUUGCGCGGUUCAGAUGAGGUGGAUAGACAGUGCAGAAGUGUUAUUAGAAUAAUGUGAGUAUUAGUAGAAUAAGGGUCUUAAAGGGGUAUUUGUAGAAUAAAUCCACCCUAUACACACACAUUACACUAUUCUGAUUCUAGGAUCAGAAUAGUUAUUCCGAAACUAUCAGCCCUAUAUAGAGCGGGAGGGAGGUGUUUGUGAACCCACCGCACCUAUUUCACCUUCAUUUCCAAAUCAACUCCCGUCGUAGCCAUUCAUCCCCAACAUGCCCCCCACAGUCGGACCUCCAUCGACAACCAUAGCCAACGAGCACACCUCCCUCGCACGGCUGCCCGCGACCAGGAUUGCCCCAUCUCCUGGCAAACCUCACCACCAUGCCUCGGUGGAGCUCCACUGGUUGUCGCUUUUGCCCCAACUAGGGAUCCAGUGAGUACCUAAGGGUCACCGCAUCUGACGAGGAUCUCAUCGCCGCCCUGACCUUCUCCGACCAACAAUGCAUCAGGCCCUGACCUUCACCAACAACCCACCUGCUUGCUCGGAUCGUUGUCGCACCCCAUAGGCAGAGUUCCCGCCUCCAACAAGCUCUUGCCAGCGGAUCUUUCCCCCGCCACUGUGUUGCCUAAUUUUGGUGGGGAUCCGCUCCAACGGAGUCCCGGCCGUUCACCGACGACACCGCAGGCCGUUCACCUUGGUCGGCCGCCACACGCAUGGAGCGCACCGACGCUCGCGAUGCACCUCAGCUUUGAAUCCUGAGUGCACUGCCGUUGGCUUACCAGAAUGCGGCUAUCCCGUAGAUACUUGCAAUGCUGCCCAAGAACGCAAGCCUGAAGGAGUUAAAGUCACAAAGAAAAACAAAUCUGUAUGAAUAUUGAGUUAACCGACGAAAAAGGAGCAACACACGACGACUCUCUGUUCUACUCCAUCAGGAGCUGAAUGACAAGCCAUGCAUGUUACGGGAACAACUAGAUUUUUCACGUACGGUUGUUUUAGUUUCUGCAUUUCUACUGUUGUUGAUGGAGAAGAAGAACGACGAUGGCAUUUUUCUCCGAA